rnacentral:rRNA from 1 species
CCUACGGGAGGCUGCAGUGAGGAAUAUUGGUCAAUGGGCGCGAGCCUGAACCAGCCAAGUCGCGUGAGGGAAGACGGUCCUAUGGAUUGUAAACCUCUUUUGUCGGGGAGCACAAGACGCCACGCGUGGCGUUCCGAGAGUACCCGAAGAAAAAGCAUCGGCUAACUCCGUGCCAGCAGCCGCGGUAAUACGGAGGAUGCGAGCGUUAUCCGGAUUUAUUGGGUUUAACGGGUGCGCAGGCGGAAGAUCAAGUCAGAGGUAAAAGUGAGAGGCUCAACCUCUUCGAGCCGUUGAAACUGGUUUUCUUGAGUGAGUGAGAAGUAUGCGGAAUGCGUGGUGUAGCGGUGAAAUGCAUAGAGAUCACGAAGAACUCCGAUUGCGAAGGCAGCAUACCGGCGCUCAACUGACGCUCAUGCACGAAAGUGUGGGUAUCGAACAGGAUUAGAUACCCUUGUAGUC